GAUGAACGCUAGCGAUAGGCUUAACACAUGCAAGUCGAGGGGCAGCACAAGGUAGCUUGCUAUCUGGGUGGCGACCGGCGCACGGGUGCGUAACGCGUAUGCAACUUGCCCUAUACAGGAGGAUAACCCGUCGAAAGACGGACUAAUACUGCGUAUGCUCACAACUUGGCAUCAAGUGGUGAGGAAAGAAAUUCGGUAUAGGAUAGGCAUGCGUCGCAUUAGCUUGUUGGUGAGGUAACGGCUCACCAAGGCAACGAUGCGUAGGGGAACUGAGAGGUUGAGUGGAUACACCAGAACUGAGAUACGGCACCGACCACCAGGCGACGAAGGGGUGCAGUGAGGAAUAUUAGUCAAUGAGCGCGAGCCUGAACCAGCCAAGUCGCGUGAAGGAUGACUGUCUUAUGGAUUGUAAACUACUUUGGUACGGGAAUAACGAGAGUCACGUGUGACGUCCUGCAUGUACCGUAUGAAUAAGCAUCGGCUAACUCCGUG
rnacentral:rRNA from 1 species